rnacentral:rRNA from 1 species
UAGUCCACGCCGUAAACGAUGAGCACUAGUUGUGACGGAUAUUAACCUCUGUCGUGACGUAGCAAACGCAUUAAGUGCUCCGCCUGGGGAGUACGGUCGCAAGACUAAAACUCAAAGGAAUUGACGGGGGCCCGCACAAGCGGUGGAUCAUGUGGUUUAAUUCGAAGCAACGCGCAAAACCUUACCUGGGUUUGAAAUCCCGAGAAUCCCGCAGAGACGUGGGAGUGCCCUUCGGGGAACUCGGUGACAGGCGCUGCAUGGCUGUCGUCAGCUCGUGUUGUGAAAUGUUGGGUUAAGUCUCGCAACGAGCGCAACCCCUGUUUUAGUUGCCAGCAUUAAGUUGGGCACUCUAAAGAUACUGCCUGGGUUAACCAGGAGGAAGGUGGGGAUGACGUCAAGUCCUCAUGGCCCUUAUACCCAGGGCUACACACGUGAUACAAUGGAUAGUACAAAGGGAUGCGAUCUCGAGAGGGUGAGCAAAUCUCAAAAGCUAUUUACAGUCCGGA